GGGAAGGUAGCUUAAAGUAAAAGCGUUAGAUUUUUAAUCUUUAGAUGCGUUUAGUGCCCUUCCCU
rnacentral:tRNA from 2 species